GGUGAACGCUGGCGGCGGGCCUAAUACAUGCAAGUCGAGCGAACACACGGGAAGCGUGCGCCUCUGACGGUAGCGGGUGACGGGUGGGUAACACGUAGAUAACCUACCUCUAAUACGGGGGGAACUUCGUGGAACCGGUUCUAAUACCGGAGAAUAUGUUCUACGGCAUGAUGCAGUAGUUCAAGGCACUUUUCCUGUCACUUUGAGAUGAAGCCGCGCCGCAUUAGCUAGUUGGUAAGGUAACGGCUCACCAAGGCGACGAUGCGUAGCCGAUCUGAGAGGGUGAUCGGCCACACUGGAACUGAGACACGGUCCAGACUCCUACGGGAGGCAGCAGUGGGGAAUAUUCCACAAAGGGCGCAAGCCUGACGGAGCCAUGCCGCGUGAGUGAUGAAGGCCUUCGGAUCGUAAAGCUCUGUUAUUAGGGAAGAACAACUGUGUAAGUAAAUCUCGACGUCUUGACGGUACCCAAUCAGAAAGCAACGGCUAACUACGUG
rnacentral:rRNA from 1 species